GAGAAGCUUGCUUCUUGGGUGGCGAGUGGCGAACGGGUGAGUAACAUAUCGGAACGUACCGAGCAGUGGGGGAUAACUAAUCGAAAGAUUAGCUAAUACCGCAUAUAUUCUGAGGAAGAAAGCAGGGGACCAUUUGGCCUUGCGCUGUUUGAGCGGCCGAUAUCUGAUUAGCUAGUUGGUGGGGUAAAGGCCUACCAAGGCGACGAUCAGUAGCGGGUCUGAGAGGAUGAUCCGCCACACUGGGACUGAGACACGGCCCAGACUCCUACGGGAGGCAGCAGUGGGGAAUUUUGGACAAUGGGCGCAAGCCUGAUCCAGCCAUGCCGCGUGUCUGAAGAAGGCCUUCGGGUUGUAAAGGACUUUUGUCAGGGAAGAAAAGGACAGGGUUAAUACCCCUGUCUGAUGACGUACCUGAAGAAU
rnacentral:rRNA from 1 species